GCUCACUUUGGCAGGACAUACACUAAAAUUGGAACGAUACAGAGACGAUUAGCAUGGCCGCUGUGCAAGGAUGACAAGGUAAUUCAUGAAGCAUUCCACGUGUAA